ensembl:lncRNA
AGAGAGAGAGAGAGAGAGAGAGAGUGGUGGAGAAAUGGGUGGUGGACAGAGAGAGGAAGGGAGAGAUAGAGAGAUAUAGAGUGGGUGUGCUAAGAGAGGAGGAAGCCAGAAAAAAGGGGGCGGACCCUAGACACACUCACACACACCCUCUCCCGACUCCUCAGUCUGGUUCAGGCAUGCAGGCGGCAGCAUGUGCAAGUAUGUGUGUGUGUGUGUGUGUGUGUGAGUGAGCGCGCGUGUGUGUUUUUGUGUGACUGUGUGGAGUCCCCAGCGCGCCACUAGAGACUAGAUACGUCCCCCUGAUGCUGCCACUAUCGCUUUGUUUCCAUCUCUAAGAGGACCUUUACUUCUCGACUAACCAAAGGAAUAAGCAGCUUUUUUUUUUUUUUUUUUACUCCACGCUGGGAACCGGCGCCAAAACCAAACCACUAACAAGUACUGAUUGGAGCAACAGCAGAGUUUGGAGGACAGGCGUUGGGCCACCGAACACGCAGCACCUGUGUGAGAGGAUGCCAGUGAUGCAGCUCCACCACAGGACAGCGCGGUCGAUAACAGCACACAGCCUCUGAUGGAUUUAACACACCGUGUGUCUUCUCC